UACCAGCACCCCGAGUGGUCGGGGCGAUUAUUGGGCCUAAAGCGUCCGUAGCCGGCCUUACAAGUCCUCCGUUAAAUCCAGCUGCUUAACAGAUGGGCUGCGGAGGAUACUAUAAGACUAGGAGGCAGGAGAGGCAAGCGGUACUCAGUGGGUAGGGGUAAAAUCCGUUGAUCCAUUGAAGACCACCAGUGGCGAAGGCGGCUUGCCAGAAUGCGCUCGACGGUGAGGGAUGAAAGCUGGGGGAGCAAACCGG
rnacentral:rRNA from 1 species